CCGGCCGGAGGGGGGACGCUCGGCGGGGCCUAGCGGGGUGGGGCCCGGCGUGCUGGGGCGGAGCUCCGCCUCCUCGCGGUCAGGUGAUUCCAGGGCAGCCAUCUUGAGUAGACGUUAAGCCAACUGCUUUUCUUGGCCUCCUCCCCCAGUUCCAUCGCCCCUUCGCCCAUCACCCUCAGGGCGGCUUGCCUUUCCUCAAGUAUAGGCUGAUUGCCACUUCCAACAAAUGAUGCUUCAGUUAUUUCAUCUGUAAAAAGCAGCUCCUUCAGUCUUCUCUUCAAUCACCAGAAUAUUUAUCAAGCAUCAACUAAGUGCUGAGCCUUCUGCAGGGGCAGGGGAAACAAGGCCCAAACUGUCUGAAAGCCAUGUCCAGGUCAAGCUGGGGAGGAAGACAACCCAAUGGACAUUUACAAUUCAGCAUGGUACUCCAGGACCUUGUGGAACAUGUGGGGACAUUGUUGAAUAGCCACACACCUUCUCCAUGCUAGGCCCUGUGCUGAUAGUGGAGGCACAGAGGUGGGUCCAUCUUUAUUCCUUAGAGGCCUCAGGCUGGUGGGCAGAGGGUCCCGUCACCACACUCCUGAACUUGCCUAUUCAAUCCUUUUACAGUUUAAGCCCCUACACAGUAGAACACAGUAAGACCUAUAAACAUGGGUUGACAAGAACUGGACUGGCUGAGUGGGAAAGCCCUUUCCCUCUCUGGACCUCUGUUUUACCACCUGCAUAAUGGUGUGGAAUUGACUUGAAGAAGUUGGGGGCUUUUUCAGUUCCAACAAUCUUGAAAGCAGUGACUCUCCAGGCCACGGAGCAGGGGAAGAACGGAGACAGAGGCAUAGCUGUUAGGAUGCCUGGCUAGGGAGGAGGCGCUCCUGCUCCUGCUGAGAGUUCCUUUGGAUUCCCAACCCUCUUGCCCUCACCUCUUCUCCCAGGAGGAUGUAAAACCCUUUGUAAAGCCUUGCUGAAACAGAGAGGCUGCUGUUUAGUCCUUCCCCAAGCCCUGCUGGGUUAUCUGACUGGCCCAGGGCCUAACCUGGCUGGUGACUGGCUGCUCCUUUCCAGCUGGCAUGGAACUGGAGUCCAGGCUAGGAAAAGAGAGUCCUGGAUCUCUGCCCAGAGGCUGCUGCAGCAAUGGGUUUUCGAGUCAGAUAGUCCUGGGAUCAAACCCCAGCUCUGCCACUUCUUAGCUGUGAGGCUGUGAUAAUUUUAUGUGUCAACUUGACUGGCUCACAGGGUGCCCAGAUAGCUUCAGACUUGGACUGGAACUGAACCACCAGUUUUCCUGGGUCUCCAUCUUGCUAAGUCACCCUGCAGGUCUUGGGACUUGCUGGCUUU